rnacentral:rRNA from 1 species
GCUGAAUGGCUGUCGUCAGCUCGUGUCGUAAAAUGUUGGGUUAAGUCCCGCACGAGCGCAACCCUUGUCUCUAGUUGCCAUCGUUAAGUUGGGGACUCUAAAGAAACUGCCCGGUGUCAAACCGGAGGAAGGUGGGGAUGACGUCAAGUCCUCAUGGCCCUUAUGUCCAGGGCUACACACGUGCUACAAUGGCCGGUACAAAGGGGUGCGAUACCGCGAGGUUGAGCCAAUCUCUAAAAGCCGGUCCUCAGUCCGGUUUGGAGUCUGCAACUCGACUCCAUGAAGUUGGAAUCGCUAGUAAUCGUG